rnacentral:rRNA from 1 species
GACGAACGCUGGCGGCGUGCUUAACACAUGCAAGUCGAACGGACAGGCCCUGCUUUUGUGGGGUGCUCGAGUGGCGAACGGGUGAGUAACACGUGAGUAACCUGCCCUUGACUUUGGGAUAACUUCAGGAAACUGGGGCUAAUACCGGAUAGGAGCUCCUGCUGCAUGGUGGGCGUUGGAAAGUUUCGGCGGUUCGGUAUGGACUCGCGGCUUAUCAGCUUGUUGGUGGGGUAGUGGCUUACCAAGGCUUUGACGGGUAGUCGGCCUGAGAGGGUGAACGGGGACCAUGGGACUGAGAUACGGCCCAGACUCGUACGGGAGGCAGCGGUGGGGAGUAUGGUACAAUGGGCGGGAGCGUGAGGCAACAGCGUUGCGUGCGGGAUGACGUCUUUCGGGUUGUAAACCGCUGUCGCCUGAGACGAAGAGUGAGUGACGGUAAUGGGUAAAGAAGCAACGGCUAACUACGUG